rnacentral:rRNA from 1 species
GCGUUCGCGGCCCUCGAGGGUUCUCUCUCGGGUGGUAGGGGUAACACCCUCACGCGUCGCAUUUCUGAAUCCUUUUUUUACGAGCACCUUUCGUUCUCCUUCGGUGGGGCAACCUGCCGCUGGAACUUAACAAAACCUUUUUUUGCAUCUAGCAUUACCUGUUCUGAUACAAACAAUCGUUACAACUUUCAACAAUGGAUCUCUUGGCUCUGGCAUCGAUGAAGAACGCAGCGAAAUGCGAUAAGUAGUGUGAAUUGCAGAAUUCAGUGAAUCAUCGAAUCUUUGAACGCACAUUGCGCCCCUUGGUAUUCCAUGGGGCAUGCCUGUUCGAGCGUCAUCUACACCCUCAAGCUCUGCUUGGUGUUGGGCGUCUGUCCCGCCUCUGUGCGUGGACUCGCCCCAAAUGCAUUGGCAGCGGUCCUUGCCUCCUCUCGCGCAGCACAAUUGCGUUUCUUGAGGUGUGCGGCUCGCAUCCACAAAGCAACCAUCGUCUUUGACCUCGGAUCAGGUAGGGAUACCCGCUGAACUUAAGCAUAUCAAUAAGCGGAGGAAAAGAAACCAACAGGGAUUGCCCUAGUAACGGCGAGUGAAGCGGCAACAGCUCAAAUUUGAAAUCUGGCUCUCUUUGGGGGUCCGAGUUGUAAUUUGCAGAGGAUGCUUUGGUAUUGUCGGCGGUCUAAGUUCCUUGGAACAGGACAUCACAGAGGGUGAGAAUCCCGUACGUGGUCGCCUGCCUUUACCGUGUAAAGCUCCUUCGACGAGUCGAGUUGUUUGGGAAUGCAGCUCUAAAUGGGAGGUAAAUUUCUUCUAAAGCUAAAUACCGGCCAGAGACCGAUAGCGCACAAGUAGAGUGAUCGAAAGAUGAAAAGUACUUUGGAAAGAGAGUCAAAAAGCACGUGAAAUUGUUGAAAGGGAAGCGCUUGCAGCCAGACUUGCCCGCAGUUGCUCACCUAGGCUUUUGCCUGGGGCAUUCUUCUGCGGGCAGGCCAGCAUCAGUUUGGGCGGUUGGAUAAAGGCCUCUGUCACGUAUCUCCCUUCGGGGUGACCUUAUAGGGGAGGCGUAAUGCAACCAGCCCGGACUGAGGUCCGC